GGGCCGAUGGUUUAGGGGUAUAAUGCCACGUUCGCAACGUGGAUGUCGAGGGUUCGAUUCCCUCUCGGUCCA
rnacentral:tRNA from 3 species